rnacentral:rRNA from 1 species
CCUACGGGUGGCUGCAGUGGGGAAUAUUGGACAAUGGGCGAAAGCCUGAUCCAGCCAUGCCGCGUGUGUGAAGAAGGCCUUCGGGUUGUAAAGCACUUUCAGUGGGGAAGAAAGCCUUGGGGCUAAUACCCUCGAGGAAGGACAUCACCCACAGAAGAAGCACCGGCUAACUCCGUGCCAGCAGCCGCGGUAAUACGGAGGGUGCGAGCGUUAAUCGGAAUUACUGGGCGUAAAGCGCGCGUAGGCGGUCUGAUAAGCCGGUUGUGAAAGCCCCGGGCUCAACCUGGGAACGGCAUCCGGAACUGUCAGGCUAGAAUGCAGGAGAGGAAGGUAGAAUUCCCGGUGUAGCGGUGAAAUGCGUAGAGAUCGGGAGGAAUACCAGUGGCGAAGGCGGCCUUCUGGACUGACACUGACGCUGAGGUGCGAAAGCGUGGGUAGCAAACAGGAUUAGAUACCCCUGUAGUC